ACGGUCACAUGAUUCAAAAUUCAAUAUAUAAAAGGAUGUAAAGUGAAAAUUCUUUCUCCCAUCCUCGUCAUUCCCAAGCUACUCAAAAAACAGGAUAUCUCUCUGUCGGCUAGGCUGGAGUGUAGUGGUGUGAUCAUCAUGGCUCACUGUGGCCUCAAACUCCUACUAUGGACAGGAGACAGGGAAAUACUGGGUAGAAGAGGACAGUUCCCCAGCAAAGGCCCCACCCUCAAGCCUGGAUACCCAUGGCCCUAAAUGGGAACAGGCAUUUCUGUUUUUGCACCCCAAAAGUUGACUUUUGGCCCACAUGCUCCCUAUCCUGUACCCAUAUAAACCCCAAAUUCCAGGCUCCAGAGAGAGACAAGGAGAUGAGGAGACAAGCAGACGAACAGCGGAACAAUGCAGCAGAGAAAGAGAGAAGAGAAGGAACGUCUGAACGUCGAGAGGAGUUCGGCUGCUGGACGGCCAAACUCCAGGGGAAGAUCAUCUUCCCACUCCAUUCCCCCUCCAGCUCCCCAUCCAUCCCACUGAGAGCCACUUCCACCACUCAAUAAAAGCCCCACAUUUAUCCUUCAAGUCCAUGUGUGAUCCAAUUCUUCUGGGAUGCUAAACAAGAACCUGGGAUACAGAAAGCUGUCACACUGGCCCUCUGCCCUUGCAGAAAGGCAGAGGGGCCCUGAGCUGGUUGAUACUUAAGCUGUCUGUGGAUGGCAGAACUAAAAGAGCAUUGG
rnacentral:lncRNA from 10 species